rnacentral:tRNA from 1 species
GUUAGGGUGGCAGAGCCCGGAAAUUGCNUAAAACUUAAACCUUUANACUCAGAGGUUCAACUCCUCUCCCUAACA